rnacentral:rRNA from 1 species
ACCCUUUUUCGUGGCGACGGGUGAGUACGCGUGGGACGUACCUUUUGGUUCGGACAACUGAGGGGAACUUCCCUAAUACCGGAUAAGCCCUUACGGGGAAAGAUUUAUCGCCGAAAGAUCGGCCCGCGUCUGAUUAGCUAGUUGGUGGGGUAAUGGCCCACCAAGGCGACGAUCAGUAGCUGGUCUGAGAGGAUGAUCAGCCACAUUGGGACUGAGACACGGCCCAAACUCCUACGGGAGGCAGCAGUGGGGAAUAUUGGACAAUGGGCGAAAGCCUGAUCCAGCCAUGCCGCGUGAGUGAUGAAGGCCCUAGGGUUGUAAAGCUCUUUUGGGCGGGAAGAUAAUGACGGUACCCCUUGAAUAAGCCCCGGCUAACUUCGUGCCAGCAGCCGCGGUAAUACGAAGGGGGCUAGCGUUGCUCGGAAUCACUGGGCGUAAAGGGUGCGUAUGCGGGUUUCUAAGUCAGAGGUGAAAGCCUGGAGCUCAACUCCAGAACUGCCUUUGAUACUGGAAGUCUUGAGUUCAGGAGAGGUGAGUGGAACUGCUAGUGUAGAGGUGAAAUUCGUAGAUAUUCGCAAGAACACCAGUGGCGAAGGCGGCUCACUGGCCCGAUACUGACGCUGAGGCACAAAAGCGUGGGGAGCAAACAGGAUUAGAUACCCCUGGUAGUCCUCUCGUAAACGAUGAAUGCCAGCCCGUUCGUGGGUUUUACUCACUCGUGGCGCACCUAACCCUUUUAAGCAUUCCCGCCUGGGGAGUACUGGUCUCAAGAUUAAAACUCAAAGGAAUCUGUACGGGGGCUCCCCCAAGCCGUGGAAGCCU